AAAACUUAAGAAAGAAUAUAAAUUCUAUUAAUUU
rnacentral:tRNA from 1 species